rnacentral:rRNA from 2 species
GCUAUACAUGCAGUCGAACGAACUCUGGUAUUGAUUGGUGCUUGCAUCAUGAUUUACAUUUGAGUGAGUGGCGAACUGGUGAGUAACACGUGGGAAACCUGCCCAGAAGCGGGGGAUAACACCUGGAAACAGAUGCUAAUACCGCAUAACAACUUGGACCGCAUGGUCCGAGCUUGAAAGAUGGCUUCGGCUAUCACUUUUGGAUGGUCCCGCGGCGUAUUAGCUAGAUGGUGGGGUAACGGCUCACCAUGGCAAUGAUACGUAGCCGACCUGAGAGGGUAAUCGGCCACAUUGGGACUGAGACACGGCCCAAACUCCUACGGGAGGCAGCAGUAGGGAAUCUUCCACAAUGGACGAAAGUCUGAUGGAGCAACGCCGCGUGAGUGAAGAAGGGUUUCGGCUCGUAAAACUCUGUUGUUAAAGAAGAACAUAUCUGAGAGUAACUGUUCAGGUAUUGACGGUAUUUAACCAGAAAGCCACGGCUAACUACGUGCCAGCAGCCGCGGUAAUACGUAGGUGGCAAGCGUUGUCCGGAUUUAUUGGGCGUAAAGCGAGCGCAGGCGGUUUUUUAAGUCUGAUGUGAAAGCCUUCGGCUCAACCGAAGAAGUGCAUCGGAAACUGGGAAACUUGAGUGCAGAAGAGGACAGUGGAACUCCAUGUGUAGCGGUGAAAUGCGUAGAUAUAUGGAAGAACACCAGUGGCGAAGGCGGCUGUCUGGUCUGUAACUGACGCUGAGGCUCGAAAGUAUGGGUAGCAAACAGGAUUAGAUACCCUGGUAGUCCAUACCGUAAACGAUGAAUGCUAAGUGUUGGAGGGUUUCCGCCCUUCAGUGCUGCAGCUAACGCAUUAAGCAUUCCGCCUGGGGAGUACGGCCGCAAGGCUGAAACUCAAAGGAAUUGACGGGGGCCCGCACAAGCGGUGGAGCAUGUGGUUUAAUUCGAAGCUACGCGAAGAAGCUUACCAGGUCUUGACAUACUAUGCAAAUCUAAGAGAUAAGACG